rnacentral:rRNA from 1 species
CAGUAGCCGCGGGAAUACGUAGGUGGCAAGCGUUGUCCGGAAUUAUUGGGCGUAAAGGGCUCGCAGGCGGUUUCUUAAGUCUGAUGUGAAAGCCCCCGGCUCAACCGGGGAGGGUCAUUGGAAACUGGGAAACUUGAGUGCAGAAGAGGAGAGUGGAAUUCCACGUGUAGCGGUGAAAUGCGUAGAGAUGUAGAGGAACACCAGUGGCGAAGGCGACUCCCUGGUCUGUAACUGACGCUGAGGAGCGAAAGCGUGGGGAGCGAACAGGAUUAGAUACCCCCGUAGCCCUGUCUCUUAUACA